rnacentral:rRNA from 1 species
CCUACGGGGGGCAGCAGUGGGGAAUCUUGCACAAUGGAGGAAACUCUGAUGCAGCGAUGCCGCGUGAGUGAAGAAGGCCUUUGGGUUGUAAAGCUCUUUCGUCGGGGAAGAAAAUGACUGUACCCGAAUAAGAAGGUCCGGCUAACUUCGUGCCAGCAGCCGCGGUAAUACGAAGGGACCUAGCGUAGUUCGGAAUUACUGGGCUUAAAGAGUUCGUAGGUGGUUGAAAAAGUUGGUGGUGAAAUCCCAGAGCUUAACUCUGGAACUGCCAUCAAAACUUUUCAGCUAGAGUAUGAUAGAGGAAAGCAGAAUUUCUAGUGUAGAGGUGAAAUUCGUAGAUAUUAGAAAGAAUACCAAUUGCGAAGGCAGCUUUCUGGAUCAUUACUGACACUGAGGAACGAAAGCAUGGGUAGCGAAGAGGAUUAGAUACCCUCGCAGUCCAUGCCGUAAACGAUGUGUGUUAGACGUUGGAAAUUUAUUUUCAGUGUCGCAGGGAAACCGAUAAACACACCGCCUGGGGAGUACGACCGCAAGGUUAAAACUCAAAUGAAUUGACGGGGACCCGCACAAGUAGUGGAGCAUGUGGUUUAAUUCGAAGAUACGCGCAGAACCUUACCAACACUUGACAUGUUCGUCGCGACUCUAAGAGAUUAGAGUUUUCGGUUCGGCCGGACGAAACACAGGUGCUGCAUGGCUGUCGUCAGCUCGUGUCGUGAGAUGUUGGGUUAGUCCCGCAACGAGCGCAACCCUCACUUUUAGUUGCCAUCAUUAAGUUGGGCACUCUGAAAGAACUGCCAGUGAUAAGCUGGAGGAAGGUGGGGGUGACGUCAAGUCCUCAUGGCCCUUACGUGUUGGGCUACACACGUGCUACAAUGGCAUCUACAACAGGAAGCAAAACGGCAACGUUAAGCAAAUCCCGAAAAGAUGCCUCAGUUCGGAUUGCAGGCUGCAACUCGCCUGCAUGAAGCCGGAAUCACUAGUAACCGCAGAUCAGCUACGCUGCGGUGAAUACGUUCCCGGGCCUUGUACACACCGCCCGUC